UCGGCCUACGGGGGGCAGCAGUGAGGAAUAUUGGUCAAUGGGCUUACGCCUGAACCAGCCAAGUCGCGUGAGGGAAGACUGCCCUAUGGGUUGUAAACCUCUUUUGUCAGGGAGCAACGCCGGCUACGUGUAGCCGGACUGAGAGUACCUGAAGAAAAAGCAUCGGCUAACUCCGUGCCAGCAGCCGCGGUAAUACGGAGGAUGCGAGCGUUAUCCGGAUUUAUUGGGUUUAAAGGGUGCGUAGGCGGUUUUUUAAGUUAGUGGUUAAACGUCGGGGCUUCACCUUGAUUUGCCAUUAAUACUGU
rnacentral:rRNA from 1 species